UACGUAGGGGGCAAGCGUUGUCCGGAUUUAUUGGGCGUAAAGAGCGUGUAGGCGGCCAUUCAGGUCAGCUGUGAAAACUCGAGGCUCAACCUCGAGACGUCGGUUGAAACCGUUUGGCUAGAGUCCGGAAGAGGAGAGUGGAAUUCCCGGUGUAGCGGUGAAAUGCGCAGAUAUCGGGAGGAACACCAGUGGCGAAGGCGGUGGCCUGGACCGAUGCUGACGCUGAGGCGCGAAAGCGUGGGGAGCGAUCCGG
rnacentral:rRNA from 1 species